GCCUCAACAGCGCCUCCUUCUGGACAAACACCACCUGACACCGGGACAGCAAAGGUCAACAGAAGAACGCCGACCGAAGGUGGCUGUCAGCCGGAGGUCAUGCCUGUUGUUCCAGGACAACAACAAUCCCAUGAUUCCUGGGGAUUCAGAAAAUCCUAUUUUCCAGCAUUUCAAGGUGUCGAUUUGGAGCUCACCCUGUUUCUGGGGACCAGAGUGGAGCAGCCAUCAGGACAGCCCACCUUCACCUCUGGACAGGAGCUUUGCACAUGAUCCUAAAAGUGACCCAGUAUGGACCAGCCAGACCUCUCCAGUCAUCUGGGCCUGGACCGGGUCUUUGUCAGUUCCCAGAUUCAAAACCAAACAUGGGAGUAGCUGCAUUCAGCUUCUCCACUAAAAACCAGCAGUUUAUCUACAAUCAUCCUAAUUUUCAGAUGGACCAGUGUUUGCUUUUUUUUGGUCCACCAGAGUUUAUUAGAUGAACUUUCACAUCUUCCCAAAGGCAGCCGACUACCCAAAGAAAGCUCUGAUCAAAAACCAGACACCAGUGAUGGAAAUGAUGUCCCAGUAUGUGAGAAGUAUCUAACAUUGCAUUCUAAAAAUGUCUCCUUUGCCCCACAUUUGCUAAUAAAUACGAGGAAACUUUUGCACAGCUUCAUAAUUUUGGGGGUAAGAAAUGUUGAUAAUUUUCUUUUAAAGUUUUUGGUUAAAAAAAAUGACAGCAGCCUGAAAAUUGCGAUUUUCAGAAACGAUGAUCCCAUAAUAGAUCGACUGAUGUGGUUUAUUUCACCUUAGACACAAAAAUUCACAUUGAUACCAGUUGGUUCUUGUGGGACUCAUCCGUCCCUCAAACUCUUAUCGUGUGAGCACGAUGACGGGUAACCAUGGCAACCAGGGAAAGGCUCGGCUAACUCUGCUGUUAUUCUAAAAGCUGUUCAGAGUUCAAAUGACCUUCAGCUUUUAUACCGUAGGAUUAAAACGAUGUGUAACUACACACAAAAUGAGAGAAAACCGGUAUGGUGGUUCCAUUCCAACCCAUUUCAAGUGUGUUUUUAAAUUAUUAAGUCUGCUUCCAAAGUACAAAACUGUCCUCCAUCCUUGGACUGUAAUCUGCUGCCAUCCAGCAUAACAGGAAGUUGAGAGUUUGGAG